AAACAUAUAAAUGAACAAUAAAUCGAUUAUUAUAAAUAAGCAGUAGUACAAACAGCAAGUAUAAAUGUUAUUAAAUUAUCAGAAUCACAAACAAAACUGACGCAACAGCCAAUUUCUCAUACUCCUAAAUACGACAGUAUCUGUGAAACAAGUUCUCAAAAAUGUAUUCUGGGGUUUCGAAAAAUUGUGUACUGAAGGACAAUGAAUUGCAAAAGAAAAGAGGCAUCUUCCCUGAUUCUAUUAUCUGCCCAUCGAUGAACCGGAGCAUUCCCCGUCAGCAGCAUAUGAUGUCCUCGUAAAAGCAAUUAGAAACCUGAAAAAUAUUACUGUUUUAUAACAAUAAUGUUAAUCAUCUACAAAUGGGAAAG